rnacentral:rRNA from 1 species
AAUCCAUAGGUUAAUGAGGCGAACCGGGGGAACUGAAACAUCUAAGUACCCCGAGGAAAAGAAAUCAACCGAGAUUCCCCCAGUAGCGGCGAGCGAACGGGGAGGAGCCCAGAGCCUGAAUCAGCAUGUGUGUUAGUGGAAGCGUCUGGAAAGGCGCGCGAUACAGGGUGACAGCCCCGUACACAAAAGCGCAUGUGCUGUGAGCUCGAUGAGUAGGGCGGGACACGUGGUAUCCUGUCUGAAUAUGGGGGGACCAUCCUCCAAGGCUAAAUACUCCUGACUGACCGAUAGUGAACCAGUACCGUGAGGGAAAGGCGAAAAGAACCCCGGCGAGGGGAGUGAAAAAGAACCUGAAACCGUGUACGUACAAGCAGUGGGAGCACCCUUUGGGGUGUGACUGCGUACCUUUUGUAUAAUGGGUCAGCGACUUAUAUUCUGUAGCAAGGUUAACCGUAUAGGGGAGCCGGAGGGAAACCGAGUCUUAAUUGGGCGUUAAGUUGCAGGGU